CUGCCAACUCAUAACAGGAGAGGAUGCAUGAAGUGAUCCAGUUGGAAAGCCGCUGAGUGGAAAUCGGCUGGCUUCUUGCAUGCUCAGCUGAGGCAACUAACAGUUGCGAGGACUUUCUGAACAGUUUGGUCCGCUCGAGCAAACAGCACCUUCCCGUCGAAAGGGAUAUCCUGCAUUGAUGACUGCGCAUCGCUGGAUAACCCAGAGAGCAGGAGCCAUGAUGCCCAUCUCAUGGACACCACUGAGGCCAUGGACCAUGUGGCUGUGUCGACUGCAUCCGAAACAGCCUGCAGGGAUGCCCUUGCAGCUGUUGCCCCUUCCUUCACGAGCACCUUAAACUUCUUUUUAUCAUGCUCCCAGACACAGUCCUUGAACUUGGGGAGGGAUCCCCAGAGAUUAAACUCGUAGUGACCCAAGAGAGCCUAAUGGUUUGCUACUCUUAGCUGGAAGCUUGACAACGAAUAAACUUUUCUCCCAAAAGUA